rnacentral:misc_RNA from 1 species
UCUCGGCUUACACCGGCAGUCCCGCUAGAGUGCCCAGCUUGACCUGAUGGCAACUAACAGUAGGGGUUGCGCUCGUUAUGGGACUUAACCCGACACCUCACGGCACGAGCUGACGACAACCAUGCAGCACCUAGUUUCGCGCCCCGAAGGGAAAUCCUCUUUCAAGAAUCGUCGCUAACUUUCAAGCCCGGGUAAGGUUCCUCGCGUAUCAUCGAAUUAAACCACAUGUUCCUCCGCUUGUGCGGGCCCCCGUCAAUUCCUUUGAGUUUCAUUCUUGCGAACGUACUCCCCAGGUGGAUAACUUAUCGCUUUCGCUUAGUCACCGACUGUGUAUCGCCGACAACGAGUUAUCAUCGUUUACUGCGUGGACUAC